AAUAAUAAAAUUUUAUUUAUAUUUAUAAAAAAAAAUAAUUUAAUUUUUAGUAUAGUUUAUUGAAAAAAUAAUUUUUAUAAUAGAGAAUAGUAUUGAAGGAGAAAAAUGAAAUAAAUUGAAAAUUAUUUAUAGUAAAAGAAAUUUUUAUUUAAUGUACCUUUUGUAUCAGGGAUUAUUAAAUAAUUAAUAUAAAUGUUAUUAUUCUCGAAAUAAAAAGAUUUAAUUUAAUAAUAUUUUUAUUGUGUUAAAAUUAUUUUUAAUAUUAAAUUAGAAUUUAAAAGUUAUUCGGUUUUUAUUAUAUCUAGUUUUUUAAUAAAUAAAUUUAAUUUAUUUUAUAUUUUUUAUUAAAUUAGAUUUUUAAUUUAAUAAUAAAAUAUAAGUAAUUUAUUAAGGGAUAAGCUUUAAUAAAUUUAUUAUAAAUAAGAUAAAUAAUGACUUUAUAUAUUCUUAGAAAUAGAAUUUAUUUUAUAAUAUGUUAUAAUUUAAUAAAUAAAUAUUAUUUAUUUAUUAUAUUUUAAUUAUUUAAUUAAAAUAUUUAAUUUAAUUUUAAAAUUAAAGUAAUAAUGAUAAUAUUAGUAUAUAAUUAUAUAUAUAUAUAUGAGUAAUAAUAAAAAUAAUUUAAUUGUAAGGAACUCGGCAAAUAUAGUAUUUGCCUGUUUAUUAAAAACAUGUCUUUUUGGAAUUUAUAUAAAGUCUAAUCUGCCCACUGAAAAAUUAAAGGGCCGCAGUAUAUUAACUGUGCAAAGGUAGCAUAAUCAUUAGUUUUUUAAUUGAAAGCUAGUAUGAAUGAUUGGACAAAAUAUUUACUGUCUUAUAGUUAUUAUUAUAAAAUUUUAUUUUUUAAUUAAAAAGUUAAAAUAAAAUUAAAAGACGAGAAGACCCUAUAGAUCUUUAUAUAAAUAUUAUUAAUAAGAAUUAGUUAGAUUAUAUUAUAAAUUAUAUUUAUAUUUUAUUGGGGUAAUAAUAAAAUUUAUAGAAUUUUUAUUUUUUAAGUGACAAAUUUAUUUGAUAAAUUGAUCCAUUAUUAAUGAUUAAAAAAUUAAGUUACCUUAGGGAUAACAGCGUAAUGAUUUUUGAGAGUUCUUAUCAAUAAAAUAGAUUGCGACCUCGAUGUUGAAUUAAAAUAUAUUUUAGGUGUAGGUGUUUAAAGUAUAAAGUCUGUUCGACUUUUAAUAUUUUACAUGAUUUGAGUUUAGACCGGCGUAAGCCAGGUCAGUUUCUAUCUUUAAUAAAAUAAAUAUAUUUUAGUACGAAAGGAUUAAAUAUAUAAUAUAUAAUAUUUAAAUUAAGAAUAAUAUUAAAUUAAAUA